AUUGAACGCUGGCGGCAGGCCUAACACAUGCAAGUCGAGCGGAGCGGCGGACGGGGGAGUAAUGCCAAGGAAUCUGCCAGGUAGUGGGGGCUAACGUCCGGAAACGGGCGCUAAUACCGAAUACUAUCACAAGAGCCUAGGUCGGAUUAGCUAGUUGGUUGGGUAAAGGCCUACCAAGGCGACGAUCCGUAACUGGUCUGGGAGGAUGAGCAGUCAAACUGGAACUGGGACCCGGUCCAGAAUCAUACGGGGGGGAGCAGGGGGGAAUAAUGGACAAAGGGCGAAAGCCCGAGCCAGCCAAGGCGCGUGGGAGAAGAGGGCUUCGGAUGGUAAAGCACUUUAAGUUGGGAGGCGUUACCAACAGAAUAAGCACCGGCUACCGUCGUGCCAGCCGCGGUAAUAC
rnacentral:rRNA from 1 species